rnacentral:lncRNA from 1 species
CAGUUCAGAGAACUGACCACUAGGUGGCAGAAGCGCUCCUUCUGCUAACUCAGCCUCUCCUGGUGUGGGCUGUAAUUAGGUCAGUGUAAGUUAAAGUAGGGCUGAGAGAUGAAUAAAGUAGAUUUUCUCCUCUAGAACACACUGCAGUUUAAUUUCACUUCUUUCUACAGUGUGCGAUGAAGGUGGACUUAACUUUUAAAGGCAAAGAGACAAACCACUGCCAGGAUAAAUGAGAAGACGCAGAGGGGGCAACUGGCACCACACAGGAGAGGAAAUGCUUUCUGGCUGGUUCCUAAUUUUCAUAUCCGGGUUAUCGUCAGAAAUCAUUUUCAGAGGAGCUGUCAGUUGCUUGCUUCAGAACUACAUUUCACAGUCUUGUCCUCUCCUCGUGUCCACACUGCGAUACUAGCAACUGCUGAGGAUGCUGUGUGUCUCU